AUUUUAUUUAUUAUUUUUUUUUUUUGUGCUUAUCACUCUAAAAUGCUCAAUCCAAAUGAGUGAUUUGACGACAAAUCAUAGCCCUUUCCUUUCUUUUCUCAUGAAACCCCUCCAUCCAAAGGGGGCUGUAAUUCUAUCCUCCUUUCCUGCUACUUGGUUAGCAUGUGCCACUGCUAACUCCUUUUGCACCUGCUAAUGAACUCCUAUUCCUGGAACUCCUCUUUAUUAACCACAUUUCUUGCUUCUGCAUGAGUCAUGGUCACUGCUCCUGCACCUCCAACUACAAGAGGAACUUCCGCAUCUCUAUUUCUCAUAAUAUUGCAACCACAACAGACUCAAGACGGAGGAGGCUCAGCGUUUCUUAUUUCUUUGAUUUGUGAAAGGUUGCUGAAACAUUAGCAAGUUGGUUUCUCACUUGUCAUUUUCUGGUAAUAUCUUUAUAUAAAGGAAUUCUGUCCUCUCUCUUUUACUUUCUUUGUUCUGGCUAGGUAAUCACCGAUGUAGUUAGAUAAAAAAUGAUAUAGUCUGCUGUUGAUGCAAUCUUGUGUUACCUUGUUUAUUAGAUCACUGCCUAAUCCUAUACAAACAAGACAAGCACUGUAGUAGUCUGAUGACUCUCAUUGUGGAGUAGUCAUCUUAUGAAACUUCCCCCACGUCGCUUCUUUUUUUCUCUCCUUUAAUGCAAAAGAAAGUGAAAUAUGAUAUUUCUGGGAAUUUUAGUCUUUUCUGACCAACUUGGCAUGGGGUCCAUAUGUUGUUAUUCACUGAAAUUCGACAGGAUUCGGUUGCUGGUGGUAUGGCAUAAACUUUGGCUUUGGUGAUUGUAAGUCUUGAUCUCCCAUCCUUCCUCAUGCAUCUUCUCUGGUCUUAAUUACACCAUGAACAGUUUCUGCGUUACUUACUAGCCACUUGAAUGAUCAGGACUUACCUGAUUCAACAUACCAAAUGCCAGAACCAUUUCAGAUUGUCAUCCAUCUCUCUCUCUCUCUCUCUCUCUCUCUCUCUCUCUCUCUCUCUCUCUGUGUGUGAGCACAUACUUGCAGGCGGAAAACCAUCCUUAGGGGUGGGAGAGUGGCUCUACAAGUAUCGAAUUGUUGUUAGAUUUAUACCAUUCCUUUUGCAUUUGUAAGAUAAACACAGCGAAAAUUGACAAGCUGUUUUUCUUCUAUUGUGUUCGUCAGAAAGAGAAGAUUUCACAAACAUUACGGCUGAUUUUAUUAUUUUAUAAGAACCACGUGUUGCAAAGGUAAGAGUAACAUCUGGAUUCUUACAAUCUAGACAGUUUUUACACGGAUACCUCUAAGAAUCAAGGAUGUGAUAAGGAAAAUAAAUUGGAAAAAAUGGAAGGAUCUAACCAUUGUGAGCGGUUAACUUGUCUAUUUCCUUACCCAAGUUCUUGUUCCAGUUCCAAAUAUAGCCUAAAGAGGUUUGAUAGGGUCCGUGACAACUAUUCAUGAAAUUGUCAUGGAUAACAUUUUCGCAGCCGAAAUGUUCUUUCAGUUUCUCAUAAGCCCAGCAAU